rnacentral:rRNA from 1 species
AACAAACGCUGGCGGCGUGCCUAAUACAUGCAAGUCGAACAGGGAAAGCUUUCGGGUGAGUACUAGUGGCGCACGGGUGAGGAACGCGUGGAUAAUCUGCCUUAGAGUGGGGGAUAACUAGUCGAAAGAUUAGUGAAUACCGCAUAAGACCACAGGAGCUGCGGCUCAAGGGGUCAAAGGUUUUUCGCUCUAAGAUGAGUCCGCGUAAGAUUAGCUAGUUGGUGAGGUAACGGCUCACCAAGGCGACGAUCUUUAACUGGUCUGAGAGGAUGAUCAGUCACACUGGAACUGGGACACGGUCCAGACUCCUACGGGAGGCAGCAGUAGGGAAUAUUGCACAAUGGAGGAAACUCUGAUGCAGCGACGCCGCGUGAGUGAUGAAGGCCUUCGGGUCGUAAAGCUCUGUCGCAGGGGAAUAACCCAAUGAAUGUUCCCUGUAAGAAAGGAUCGGCUAACUUCGUGCCAGCCGCCGCAGUAAUAC